rnacentral:tRNA from 1 species
GGAGAGGUACCGAAGUGGCCAUACCGGCACCGACUCGAAAUCGGCUGAGGCCUUUACCGGCCUACGCGGGUUCGAAUCCCGCCCUCUCCGCCA